rnacentral:tRNA from 1 species
GCGGCCGUGGUCUAGACUGGUCUAGGAUGGCGGCCCCCCGAGCCGAAUCCCGGCGGCCGCACCA